rnacentral:rRNA from 1 species
GAUGAACGCUGGCGGCGUGCCUAAUACAUGCAAGUCGAGCGAACAGAUGAGGAGCUUGCUCCUCUGACGUUAGCGGCGGACGGGUGAGUAACACGUGGAUAACCUACCUAUAAGACUGGGAUAACUUCGGGAAACCGGAGCUAAUACCGGAUAAUAUAUUGAACCGCAUGGUUCAAUAGUGAAAGACGGUUUUGCUGUCACUUAUAGAUGGAUCCGCGCCGCAUUAGCUAGUUGGUAAGGUAACGGCUUACCAAGGCGACGAUGCGUAGCCGACCUGAGAGGGUGAUCGGCCACACUGGAACUGAGACACGGUCCAGACUCCUACGGGAGGCAGCAGUAGGGAAUCUUCCGCAAUGGGCGAAAGCCUGACGGAGCAACGCCGCGUGAUUGAUGAAGGUCUUCGGAUCGUAAAACUCUGUUAUUAGGGAAGAACAAAUGUGUAAGUAACUAUGCACGUCUUGACGGUACCUAAUCAGAAAGCCACGGCUAACUACGUG